rnacentral:rRNA from 1 species
AAGGGCACCACAAGAACGCGUGGAGCAUGUGGCUUAAUUUGACUCAACGCGGGAAAUCUUACCGGGUCCGGACACACUGAGGAUUGACAGGCGUUUUGCAGAAAUAUAAAUAAGAUAGCUUUUUAGUUAUUUUAUUUUUUUUCUGCUUUAAAUAUGCUAGUCCUUUCAUGAUUGUGUGAUAGGUGGUGCAUGGCCGUUCUUAGUUCGUGGAGUGAUCUGUCUGCUUAAUUGCGUUUCACAAUGCACUUUUAAAAAUUGUUAUUAAUAAAGCUUUUUAAGCUGUGACACUCUUUUUAAUUUAUUAAAAAGAUUGUUGUCGCGCUUAACUUUUUAAUAGCAAUAAAAGUGCCGAAGGCAACGAACGUGACCGCAACCUCUUGUUGCCUCCCAUGUUUUAACAAAACAUUUUUUUUUUUAGAAAUAAAAAGGAAUUUGUUUUGAGCGGAGGGAAACUAGAGGGACCGCUGCGAAAAAGUUAAACCAGAGGAAGGUUGCGGCAAUAACAGGUCUGUGAUGCCCUUAGAUGUUCCGGGCUGCACACGUGCUACAAUGAUUAUUGCAGUGAGCAUCUUAAAAAGUUCGUGUGCAAAUAAAAAAUAUAUAAAUAUAUAUGUUUUUUUUGCAUAAUCAAAACGACUAGCCUGCUUCGAAAGUAAGUAGGUAAUCAAUUCGAAGUAAUGAUUUCCACCGCACGCUUUAACAAUGUCUCUUUUUUUAUAUAGCAAAGCUUGCUUUGUUUAUAUAAAAAAAUGAGGCAUGUGCUCCAUUAAUUCAUGGUGGGGACAGACCAUUGUUAAUUGUUGGUCUCGGUCUCAACUAGGAAUGCCUUGUACGGGUCUUUGGUUCAACAGACCACCCGGAAUACGUCCCUGCCCUUUGUACACACCGCCCGUCGCUCUUACCGAUGGACUUCUCUGUGAGUUUGAGGGACUGGAAAUUUAUUUCUAUGGAAACUUAAACGAACAGUGUGGUCUAAAGGAAAGAGAAGUCGAACAAGGCA